rnacentral:rRNA from 1 species
GACGAACGCUGGCGGCGUGCCUAACACAUGCAAGUCGAGCGACGAACCAGGGCUUGCCCUGGGGCAAAGCAGCGAACGGGUGAGUAACACGUGGGUAACCUACCCCGAUAACCGGGACAACCCGAGGAAACUCGGGCUAAUACCGGAUGUGCUCACUGGACUUCGGUUCAGUGCGUAAAGGAAGCUUCGGCCUCCGUAUCGGGAGGGGCCCGCGGCCCAUUAGUUUGUUGGUGAGGUAACGGCUCACCAAGACCGCGAUGGGUAGCUGGUCUGAGAGGACGAUCAGCCACACUGGGACUGAGACACGGCCCAGACUCCUACGGGAGGCAGCAGUGGGGAAUCUUGCGCAAUGCGCGAAAGCGUGACGCAGCAACGCCGCGUGGGGGAAGAAGGCCUUCGGGUUGUAAAACCCUUUCAGGAGGGAAGAAGGUUCGGCGGUGAAUAGCCGUCCGGACUGACGGUACCUCCACAAGAAGCCCCGGCUAACUACGUG